GUGCUCACUUCAAUAGCACGCACACUAAAAUUGGAACAAUACAGAGCAGAUCAGCAUGGCCUUGUGCAAGGAUGAUACAUGAAUUCACUAAGUGUCCUGUAUUUUU